ACCCUCUCAGGGUUGCAUCUGGAGAGUUUCCAGUACUCUAACAGUCCCGACUACAGGAGGGAGAGUCCAGCAGAGGCCUACCCAUUCCAUUCCUAGCUUGGCCAGUGGCUAGCGAGUGGAAGGCCAUCGGCUACAAGU
rnacentral:snoRNA from 1 species